GAUGAAGAACGCAGCGAAACGCGAUAUGUAAUGUGAAUCGCAGAAUUCAGUGAAUCAUCGAAUCUUUGAACGCACAUGGCGCCUUCCAGUAUCCUGGGAGGCAUGCCUGUCCGAGCGUCGUUUCAACCCUCGAGCCCUCGUGGCCCGGCGUUGGGGAUCUGCCACGGCAGGCCCCGAAAUACAGUGGCGGACCCGUUAGGCCCUUCCUUUGCGUAGUAGCAUCAGCCUCGCAUCGGGAGCCGGCGGGCUCUCCUGCCUCUAAACCCCCCAACAAGCCCGCUCCGGCGGCACCAAGGUUGACCUCGGAUCAGGUAGGAAUACCCGCUGAACUUAAGCAUAUCAAUAAGCGGAGGA
rnacentral:misc_RNA from 1 species